AUUGAACGCUGGCGGCAGGCCUAACGCAUGCAAGUCGAGCGGAUGAAGAGAGCUUGCUCUCUGAUUUAGCGGCGGACGGGUGAGUAAUGCCUAGGAAUCUGCCUGGUAGUGGGGGAUAACGUCCGGAAACGGGCGCUAAUACCGCAUACGUCCUACGGGAGAAAGCAGGGGACCUUCGGGCCUUGCGCUAUCAGAUGAGCCUAAGUCGGAUUAGCUAGUUGGUGAGGUAAUGGCUCACCAAGGCGACGAUCCGUAACUGGUCUGAGAGGAUGAUCAGUCACACUGGAACUGAGACACGGUCCAGACUCCUACGGGAGGCAGCAGUGGGGAAUAUUGGACAAUGGGCGAAAGCCUGAUCCAGCCAUGCCGCGUGUGUGAAGAAGGUCUUCGGAUUGUAAAGCACUUUAAGUUGGGAGGAAGGGCAGUAAGUUUAUACCUUGCUGUUUUGACGUUACCGACAGAAUAAGCACCGGCUAACUUCGUGCCAGCCGCCGCGGUAAAAC
rnacentral:rRNA from 1 species